rnacentral:rRNA from 1 species
CCGCGCCUAGGGAGGCAGCAGUGAGGAAUAUUGGUCAAUGGUCGGGAGACUGAACCAGCCAAGCCGCGUGAGGGAUGAAGGUACAGAGUAUCGUAAACCUCUUUUGUCAGGGAACAAAGGCGGGGACGUGUCCCCGGAUGAGUGUACCUGAAGAAAAAGCAUCGGCUAACUCCGUGCCAGCAGCCGCGGUAAUACGGAGGAUGCGAGCGUUAUCCGGAUUUAUUUGGUUUAAAGGGUGCGCAAGCGGUCUGUUAAGUCAGCGGUCAAAGCCCGGGGCUCAACCACUGCCCGCCGUUGAAACUGGC